AGCUGAUAGGGAUGGAAUUGCAGGAUCAUAGCCUGUGGGGAACUGUUUGGCAAGGGAAUGGUACAGGCUGUCUUCCAGCAGCUCAAGCAUGAGAAACAUUGUUCCAAGACAGCAGAUGGAUGGAUCACUAUAAAGGUAGUGGGAUCUCAGGUUGUGGAAUCAGGAAGAGAAAGUAAUUUUUGUCCACUGUGACAGAAACAUAUUUGAACAGAAAGCUGUCUCAGUAUCUCACAGUUUA